rnacentral:lncRNA from 1 species
CUUGGCUAAUACUGCAAAGUUUGGGAUCCACAGUCUACAAAACCCCACAUCCCCUGAGAAUUCUCUCGCCUGCCUUAGGCACUUAGGCUCCGGGAGAUUGCAAAUAACCUGCUUUCUUUCUGUUCCCGGGCUGCGUUCGGACUCCUGUCAGAUAGUAAAUCCUAAGUGGCGUCGGACCCCUGUCAGAGAGUAAAUCUCAAGUAAGGUACCUGCCAUCGGCAGAUUUGAGCUUUCUUCUUGGACACCUAAUACCCACAGUCCUCCAGGCUCCGGUAGACUGCAAAUGACCUGCUUUCUUUCUGUUCCCGGGCUGCGUUUGGACCCCUGUCGGAUAGUAAAUCCCAAGCUCCGGUAGACUGCAAAUGACCUGCUUUCUUUCUGUUCCCGGGCUGCGUUUGGACCCCUGUCGGACAGUAAAUCCCAAGCUGUAGAUGAAGGGGUUCAGCAUGGAGGUGAUCACCGUGUACAUCACUGAGGCCACUGCAGCCUUUCUCGGGGAAGAUGACACAUCUGAACUGAGGUACCCUCCAAAGCCUGUUCCGUAAAAUCAGCAAACAACUGACAGGAUAACUUCAGGAAGUGGGUAUUAAUUCUCACGGUAUAAGUGAAGACAUUAAGCACCAGAGUUUAAGUAGCUUGAUCCACUGAAAGAGAUUCAACUGUGUGGAACCUAUGCCGUGGAGAAUUGCUUUCUGCCAUUGUUAUCGUCCAGCAGUUGCCGAAUAGCUCUGACCUGAGCAAAGCAGUGAAACGCGGUGCUGUUGAGUGGGUUGCCACUGCACCUUUUUCAACUACUCUAGUCUUGUGGAGAAAAUACCCCUUCUAAAUUUUUUCUUCAUUGAAUACUCUCCCUCAGCUCCAGAGUACCAUAUAGAGUUUUCUUGUAUUUUAGAGUUACUGUUUUAUCAAAGUUUACCAGUCUUUUGUAUUACAUUUCUCCUGUCUAAAUCGACUGUGUGGUUUCUACUCAUUAUGGAUAUAGAUUGAUACAAACUCAA